GUCAUAUUCACUCAUCAUUGACUGAUGACCCCUGAACAGAUUUCCGGCCCUUCUUCAUACACCUUGUCUUCCACCUUCACAGUCAUGGCACAACACUCAGGAGUGCUGUGAGUUGCAUGACACCUGCAGAGGCUCCAUACUACAGACUACUACUACUCGGUACUACAGAAACCGGAUCACUUGACAAGCCUGUGUCCUGUUUUGGCCUUCCACACUCUGUAGGAUUGCAUAGGCUCCAUUUCUUCUCCCACAUCACCAUUCCAAAACAACUCCAGAUGUUUCGUUUGUAUUAUGGCCAGUUUCUUUACAUCUGUUACACUACCUGUGUUUUGCACCCAAAACUGGACUGCUCUAUCUGUUUCUUGUUUUUUAUCAUUAUCACUUGCAUUGCUGUAAAUAUGUUCCAUUAGCUCAGUUUUGCAACUAUGAAGUGUACAGUUUUGUUGUUGUAUUACUGUUACGCUGAGCAAAAAGAAACCUCAAACCUUACUCUUAGGCCUAUGUGAAUUCUUCAUGCGUGUCGUGCUCUGUCAACAGUUUGAUGCUUACAAAGCAUUCCAAGUGUCUGUAUGAUGUUCUACCAUUAUGCUAUGCCUUCACACAGUUAAUAACAAAAGGUAUACAGUAUUAAAAAUGCAUAUUCACACUA